rnacentral:rRNA from 1 species
ACGCUGGCGGCGUGCUUAACACAUGCAAGUCGAACGAUGAAGCCUAGCUUGCUAGGUGGAUUAGUGGCGAACGGGUGAGUAAUACGUGAGUGACCUACCUUUGACUCUGGGAUAAGCCUGGGAAACUGGGUCUAAUACCGGAUACGACCAAUCUCCGCAUGGGGUGUUGGUGGAAAGCGUUAUGGAGUGGUUUUAGAUGGGCUCACGGCCUAUCAGCUUGUUGGUGAGGUAAUGGCUUACCAAGGCGACGACGGGUAGCCGGCCUGGGAGGGUGACCGGCCACACUGGGACUGAGACACGGCCCAGACUCCUACGGGAGGCAGCAGUGGGGAAUAUUGCACAAUGGGCGCAAGCCUGAUGCAGCGACGCCGCGUGAGGGAUGACGGCCUUCGGGUUGUAAACCUCUGUUAGCAUCGAAGAAGCGAAAGUGGCGGUAGGUGCAGAGAAAGCGCCGGCUAACUACGUGCCAGCAGCCGCGGUAAUACGUAGGGCGCGAGCGUUGUCCGGAAUUAUUGGGCGUAAAGAGCUUGUAGGCGGUUGGUCGCGUCUGCUGUGAAAGGCUGGGGCUUAACCCUGGUUUUGCAGUGGGUACGGGCUAACUAGAGUGCAGUAGGGGAGACUGGAAUUCCUGGUGUAGCGGUGGAAUGCGCAGAUAUCAGGAGGAACACCGAUGGCGAAGGCAGGUCUCUGGGCUGUAACUGACGCUGAGAAGCGAAAGCAUGGGGAGCGAACAGGAUUAGAUACCCUGGUAGUCCAUGCCGUAAACGUUGGGCACUAGGUGUGGGGGACAUUCCACGUUUUCCGCGCCGUAGCUAACGCAUUAAGUGCCCCGCCUGGGGAGUACGGCCGCAAGGCUAAAACUCAAAGAAAUUGACGGGGGCCCGCACAAGCGGCGGAGCAUGCGGAUUAAUUCGAUGCAACGC